AGAGUUUGAUCAUGGCUCAGGAUGAACGCUAGCGGGAGGCCUAACACAUGCAAGUCGAACGGGAGGGGUAGCAAUACCCCGAGAGUGGCGCACGGGUGAGUAACGCGUAUGCAACCUGCCUUUAACUGAGGGAUAGCCCAUAGAAAUGUGGAUUAAUACCUCAUAGUCCUUGCGCUCCGCAUGGUGAGCAAGGUAAAGCUGCGGCGGUUAAAGAUGGGCAUGCGUGACAUUAGCUGGUUGGUGAGGUAACGGCUCACCAAGGCAACGAUGUCUAGGGGUUCUGAGAGGAUGAUCCCCCACACUGGUACUGAGACACGGACCAGACUCCUACGGGAGGCAGCAGUGAGGAAUAUUGGUCGAUGGGCGCAAGCCUGAACCAGCCAUCCCGCGUGCAGGAUGAAGGCCCUAUGGGUUGUAAACUGCUUUUGUACACCAAGAAAACUCGUGACGUGUCACGAUCUGACGGUAGUGUAUGAAUAAGCAUCGGCUAACUCCGUGCCAGCAGCCGCGGUAAUACGGAGGAUGCAAGCGUUAUCCGGAUUCAUUGGGUUUAAAGGGUGCGUAGGCGGCCUUUUAAGUCAGUGGUGAAAUCCUGCCGCUUAACGGUAGAAUUGCCAUUGAUACUGAAGGGCUUGAGUUCAGUUGAGGUAAGCGGAAUGUGUAGUGUAGCGGUGAAAUGCUUAGAUAUUACACAGAACACCAAUUGCGAAGGCAGCUUACUAAACUGACACUGACGCUGAUGCACGAAAGCGUGGGGAGCGAACAGGAUUAGAUACCCUGGUAGUCCACGCCGUAAACGAUGUUCACUCGCUGUUUGCGAUACACAGCAAGCGGCCAAGCGAAAGCAUUAAGUGAACCACCUGGGGGAGUACGAUCGCAAGGGUUGAAACUCAAAUGAAUAAUUGACGG
rnacentral:rRNA from 1 species